UUGCUCGCUUCGGCAGCACAUAUACUACAAAUUGGAACGAUACAGAGAAGAUUGGCAUGGCUUCUGCGCAAGGAUGACACACAAAUUUGUGAAGCAUUUCAUAUUUUU